AAGUCGUAACAAGGUCUCCGUUGGUGAACCAGCGGAGGGAUCAUUGCUGGAACGCGCCCCUGGCGCACCCAGAAACCCUUUGUGAACUUAUACCUUACUGUUGCCUCGGCGCAGGCCGUCCCCUGAUGGGGUCCCUCUGGAGACAGAGGAGCAGCCGGCCGGUGGCCAAAUUAACUCUGUUUUUACACUGAAACUCUGAGUACAAAACAUAAAUGAAUCAAAACUUUCAACAACGGAUCUCUUGGUUCUG
rnacentral:misc_RNA from 1 species